GUCCCAGCCGCCGCGGUAAUACGGAGGGUCCGAGCGUUAUCCGGAAUCAUUGGGUUUAAAGGGUCCGUAGGCGGGCGAUUAAGUCAGUGGUGAAAGUCUGCAGCUCAACUGUAGAAUUGCCAUUGAUACUGGUUGUCUUGAAUCGUUGUGAAGUGGCUAGAAUAUGUGGUGUAGCGGUGAAAUGCUUAGAUAUCACAUAGAAUACCGAUUGCGAAGGCAGGUCACUAACAACGUAUUGACGCUGAUGGACGAAAGCGUGGGGAGCGAACAGGAUUAGAUACCCUGGUAGUCCACGCCGUAAACGAUGGAUACUAGCUGUCCGGUUCACAUUGGUGAGCUGGGUGGCCAAGCGAAAGUGAUAAGUAUCCCACCUGGGGAGUACGUUCGCAAGAAUGAAACUCAAAGGAAUUGACGGGGGCCCGCACAAGCGGUGGAGCAUGUGGUUUAAUUCGAUGAUACGCGAGGAACCUUACCAGGGCUUAAAUGUAGUCUGACAGGGGUGGAAACACCCUUUUCUUCGGACAGAUUACAAGGUGCUGCAUGGUUGUCGUCAGCUCGUGCCGUGAGGUGUCAGGUUAAGUCCUAUAACGAGCGCAACCCCUGUUGUUAGUUGCCAGCGAGUCAAGUCGGGAACUCUAACAAGACUGCCGGUGCAAACCGUGAGGAAGGUGGGGAUGACGUCAAAUCAUCACGGCCCUUACGUCCUGGGCCACACACGUGCUACAAUGGCAGGUACAAUGGGCAGCCACUGCGUAAGCAGGAGCGAAUCCACAAAACCUGUCUCAGUUCGGAUCGGGGUCUGCAACUCGACCCCGUGAAGCUGGAAUCGCUAGUAAUCGGAUAUCAGCCAUGAUCCGGUGAAUACGUUCCCGGGCCUUGUACACACCGCCCGUCAAGCCAUGGAAGCUGGAAGCACCUGAAGUCCGUCACCGCAAGGAGCGGCCUAGGGUGAAGCUGGUAACUGGGGCUAAGUCGUAACAAGGUAACC
rnacentral:rRNA from 1 species